CCUACGGUGGGCAGCAGUGGGGAAUAUUGCACAAUGGGGGAAACCCUGAUGCAGCGACGCCGCGUGAGUGAAGAAGUAUCUCGGUACGUAAAGCUCUAUCAGCAGGGAAGAAAAUGACGGUACCUGACUAAGAAGCCCCGGCUAACUACGUGCCAGCAGACGCGGUAAUACGUAGGGGGCAAGCGUUAUCCGGAUUUACUGGGUGUAAAGGGAGCGUAGACGGCAGCGAAAGUCUGGAGUGAAAUCCCGGGGCUUAACCCUGGAACUGCUUUGGAAACUGGGCGGCUGGAGUGCAGGAGGGGUAAGCGGAAUUCCUAGUGUAGCGGUGAAAUGCGUAGAUAUUAGGAGGAACACCGGUGGCGAAGGCGGCUUACUGGACUGUAACUGACGUUGAGGCUCGAAAGCGUGGGGAGCAAACAGGGUUAGAUACCCUGGUAGUC
rnacentral:rRNA from 1 species